CCCAAUGGCUCGCGCAAAACGCUUCGUGAGCCUUUUCUCUUGGCGACCAGAAUCCUCAUCCCUUGAUCCUGGGGAUGCUGCAGGUGGACUUCGAGGGUCUCCCGGUGCCGCCCUCUAUCCCCACACCUACCCCCACGGGAGAAAAAUAGUCUCAAGUGAACAUUGUUUUCUUGUGGCUUUCAUUUGGAACCUCAAAGGGUUCAGCCACCCUCCCCUCUCAAACAAAACAAAACAAAAACAAACAAACAAAAAAUCUUGGCCCUUCAUUUUGCUGCUUUUAGGUUCAAGGUCUACAAUAUGGUAGGCCACUAUCCUCAGUCCUAGAAACUUAAGUGUCCUCCACUCUAAGCUUGGGGAUAGGAAGGCGACAUCCGCACCUAUCCCAUCCCAUCAUAGGUGUGACAUGCUCAAGACUGUUUCUUCCCAGUGCGGUGAGGGAAGGCAGAAACCUUAGGACUCCUAGAGUUAUUCUGAGAUAAACCUCCACUCAGAGUUCUCUUUCCACUUGAAAAGGUCUGCAAUGGGGAGGGGUUUGUUUACAGUCCAGGACCCUACUGCGGACCCCGUGGCCCUGGAUGGUUGUGUGUGGUCCCACUCCUGAGGGAGCUAGGAUGUGGUGCCUGUACCAGAUCUAGCAGCGGAGCAGUAAGGCCGGUCAGUGUCUCCCUUGCCUCGUAUUCUAACAGCAGUGGAGGCUGUGACAUCGUGCCCACUUGUAUCCAGGGGUAUCAGAACUGAAAGUUCCCAGAAAGUGUUUGGGACAACUUGACAUGAAAUGGAGACAACAACUUCUCUUGCAGGCACACCACCUCAAGAUGCUAUCCCUACGCGCCAGGAGAGAGCUCUGUGGAAAUCCCUUAUCAGCAAUGAGGCCAGAUUACAAAGGAAGCCUGUGCUUCACACACUCUCCACUUCCUUCUGAAGAAUCGAAGCGCAGAUGCUGUAAAAGCCAGACGACUUUAUUUGGGGUCUAAGAACUGUAGCUGGGGAAAGCACAGAUCGGACGGCUGAGUCAGUGCUCCAAACACAAUUCAUCAUACAGACUUUAAGGAUAGAGGGAGUGACACAGUUACUCGGGGGGAUGCGCCAUGCCUCUCACCUGCCAGGCUGCUGUUUCAGGGCUGCACCUGAUUGGUUGCGCUGCCUGCACAGGUAUAGAGUUCGUUAGUCAUUUGUGAGCCUGUUACUGCUGCUGUAUCCAAUAAAAGACAUUAAUACCUUC